rnacentral:rRNA from 1 species
GGCGUGUGACUGCGUACCUUUUGUAUAAUGGGUCAGCGACUUAUAUUCUGUAGCAAGGUUAACCGAAUAGGGGAGCCGAAGGGAAACCGAGUCUUAACUGGGCGUUAAGUUGCAGGGUAUAGACCCGAAACCCGGUGAUCUAGCCAUGGGCAGGUUGAAGGUUGGGUAACACUAACUGGAGGACCGAACCGACUAAUGUUGAAAAAUUAGCGGAUGACUUGUGGCUGGGGGUGAAAGGCCAAUCAAACCGGGAGAUAGCUGGUUCUCCCCGAAAGCUAUUUAGGUAGCGCCUCGUGAAUUCAUCUCCGGGGGUAGAGCACUGUUUCGGCAAGGGGGUCAUCCCGACUUACCAACCCGAUGCAAACUGCGAAUACCGGAGAAUGUUAUCACGGGAGACACACGGCGGGUGCUAACGUCCGUCGUGAAGAGGGAAACAACCCAGACCGCCAGCUAAGGUCCCAAAGUCAUGGUUAAGUGGGAAACGAUGUGGGAAGGCCCAGACAGCCAGGAUGUUGGCUUAGAAGCAGCCAUCAUUUAAAGAAAGCGUAAUAGCUCACUGGUCGAGUCGGCCUGCGCGGAAGAUGUAACGGGGCUAAACCAUGCAC